CUCCAACCCACGUUCACGCAGGCACUACCACAGGCUUGGAGCCACGCUCCGCCCAAGGCCAAAAGGCCCGGGAGCUGCGGAGCAUGCCCCUCUCAAGGUGCCAUCCCAGCCACACCAUGGCAGGGGUGCCAGAUCACACCCCGGAGCAGCCCCGGGGGUAGCCAGCCACCUUCAUCUGUAAACCAACGGUGAGAGACGAGUCAGCCAACUUUCCCGCACAUGCCCACUGCUGUGUCCCUUUCAAGCUGCUGGAGGGGCUUAGCUGCAGAGAGCCCUAAGGAAUACCAGGCCAACUGCUUCAAAAACGUCCACUGUUUCCCCUGUGUCAACUACAAACAGCUCUAUCGCUGAACGGAAGUAGCGAAGUCAAUCAGGCAGCAGGGCUGCUGGAUGACAUCAACCUGCACCCACGGGUCCCGGUUUCAAGAGUUUCAUGGGUUUCAUGGGGUUUCCUGGUUUCACAGGAAACAGCACUGCUGUUCAAUGACAUGCAAAGAAGAAAUGGAAUAUUUCCUGCCGUAUCAGUAAACGACGGGUGUCACAGUCAUCAGCAAUUGCAGCCACCGCCGAUGUCAUGGAGACCGACGAAGGGACCAGAGCAGAUUCCUCCCCUUCACCUGAACUCUACAAGGAUCUGGAGCCUUAGUUAUCAGCAGAGGCGACUUGUGCCCACCCACCUCUUGGAGGAGUCCAGACAAAUCUGGGUGAGUCUCUCUUUGGUUCUAGGUGCUCUCAUUAUUGGUUGAUGAUUGUUAAGUUUCAGAUCCUGGGGGAAUAAGUUAUCUUUGAAACUUAGUUUCCAGAAGUGGUACCUGGGUUAUCCUCAGUUGGAAGUACUGGGAAGAUUUUUCUCAGUGUAAAAAGCACUGGCAGACUCAGUUUAGAUAGUGAGUGGUUAUUCUCAGCUUAAAGGCUGGGAAGACUGCCUAGUUAAACAUUGCGUAAGGUUCAACUCCCGCCUGAGUUAUCAGGGGGAAGACCGGCUUGUUGGUUUUCCUUGAAUUGGUGACCUUAGUAGAGACUGUCGAAAUUAAAAAAAAAACAACUGAAAUUUAUGAGUGCUUCUGAGCUCCAAAGAAGGGACCCUCUCCCUCUGGCUGGCAGCAGCUUUCUGAGGUGACUGAGAAAUCUGCAGGAGUGGUGGUGGCCGGACCCCACACUGUGCAGCUGUCCCUACAGGGAGACCCACUCAUUUCACUAACAACCUGCGCACCCAGGGACUCGAAGAAGAACUGCCCGUGCUGUGAUCUGAACACCAUGGAAGUCUUACGUGCCACUAGGAGAACCCAAGACGCCUAAGAGGGAGCUGAAACAAAAUCUGACGCCAAACCUAGAGGGGUUAAGCUCUCAAGCAGCAUACUGACGCAUCACUAAAUUAUCACCAGCAAUUUUAUUUCAGCAGUCCAACUUCAGAAUGGGAAAUAAAGGUUACAAAAUAAAAGAAAAAGGAGGACUUCCCUGGUGGCUCAGAAUCCACCUGCCGACGCAGGAGACAUGGGUUUGAUCCCUGAUCUGGGAAGAUCCGUCAUGCUGCGGAGCCGUAAGCCCACGCACCACAACUGCCUGUGUUCCAGAGCUUGGGCGCCACCACUGCUGAAGCCCGAGUGCCCCAGAGCCUGUGCUCUGCAAAAACAGAAGCCACCGCAAUGAAAAGUCUGCGCACUGCAUCUAGAGAGUAGCCCCUGUUCACCACAACUAGGCAGAGUCCGCAUCGCAAUGAAGACCCAGCACAGCUAUAAAUAAAUAAAAGGAACGACAGACCGCCAACCUCCAGCUAGUCCCCCAGUCUGGUUAAUGUACAUACAAAACUCACAAGUACCUACUUAAUUGGGAAUGAAAGGAAAUCUCACCCUAAAAACAAGGUGCCUCUCUUACUGCCUGUGCAGUAAAAUGAAGAUUAAAAAGCUGGCUUGACAGAAAUAUCUUUUCAGAAUUUUGAUGUUAAACAAAGUCCUUCCAGGGGAAAGCCUGCAUUUCUCUUCCUGAGUCUUUGAGAUGUAAAAGUUCUACGUGAUCUCCCGAGGACAUUCUGGGUGUGUGUGUGUUUGUGCAUGUACUUGUCUUGAAAACUUGACCUCUGCCAUACUAUUUCUGAGAGCAAAUUCUCUGGAUUUUGCUUAGGUUAUAUCCUCCCCCACCCUCUUAUGAGGAAGCCUCUUGCACCUCAGUAGUUUGAAUCACUAUUAAUAGAUAUUUUAUUAAUGGCUAAAUGAUGGAUUCCUUUAAAACUGGAGAAACAAACUAGUGAAUCUAUAGCACUCUCAUUAUAAAACUGUUUUAUUGGUACCUAUAAAACAAAAAUCAAACUUAAGGUGGAAAAAUAUAUAUCUAAUAAUUAACCUAAGAACUUCUUGUAGUUUAAAACAAGUAAGAAAAACUGGUUUGGGAAGCUUCCUUUGUGGUCUUUGCUUCCCCUCAAUGGGUCUUACAGGUGAUAACAAAAGCACUACAAUAAUUAAGGUUUACGGGGAAAGUCCUACAAGGAAAAUCUAGAUACUAUUUCCAAAAAGGUAAAAAUUUUUAAAGGAAUUAUCUCAAAUGAAUAAAGAAAUCUUUAUAUGGUUAUUUCAAGUAUGAUAAAUAAAAUGGACAUUUAUGUGGUUAAAACACAAGGUUUUAUAUUACACUACCUAAAGUUAAAUGGGUCAAAGGGUACCCCCUACUAGUUCCCAACAGUAAAAGCCAAACAAGUCUGAUCUAUCCACCCCAGUGUUAAAAUAAAUAUUUAAGGAGCUAGAAAAAUUUACACUGAGUACCUGACCAGCAAUUAUUUGGGGCAACAGAUAGGCCAAAGGGCCUGAGUUCCACCACUCAACUUCUCUCUGGGGAUCCCAGAGCCUUUUAUAUAAAAACAGAUAAAUGGGCAGGAAAUGCUGAAUAAAAAGAAAGACAAAAACUAGAAGUCUUCCUAUAAGACGAACGCUUGUUAAUUGGACACUAAUGAAAAGUAAAUGUAUAAAAGUUGACAAAAUUGGGAUGAAAGUGUAU
rnacentral:lncRNA from 1 species